UGUCCGCAAAGUGUGCAAAUGUUAAAUUGUGAUUUAAGCCUACUUGUGCUCUGUGUUUCAUAUUUGUUUCAUUUUGAGAUAGGCCUGAACUUUUCCGAUUAAGAGUUCUUGAGUUAAAUGCAUCUGAUGAACGUGGAAUACAAGUAGUUCGAGAGAAAGUGAAAAAUUUUGCUCAAUUAACUGUGUCAGGAAGUCGUUCAGAUGGGAAGCCGUGUCCGCCUUUUAAGAUUGUGAUUCUGGAUGAAGCAGAUUCUAUGACCUCAGCUGCUCAGGCAGCUUUAAGACGUACCAUGGAGAAGGAGUCUAAAACCACCCGAUUCUGUCUUAUCUGUAACUAUGUCAGUCGAAUAAUUGAACCCCUGACCUCUAGAUGUUCAAAAUUCCGCUUCAAGCCUCUGUCAGAUAAAAUUCAACAGCAGCGAUUACUAGACAUUGCCAAGAAGGAAAAUGUCAAAAUUAGUGAUGAGGGAAUAGCUUAUCUUGUUAAAGUGUCAGAAGGAGACUUAAGAAAAGCCAUUACAUUUCUUCAAAGUGCUACUCGAUUAACAGGUGGAAAGGAGAUCACAGAGAAAGUGAUUACAGACAUUGCUGGGGUAAGAGUACUGGAUAUUCUGAAUUUCUUUUUAGU
rnacentral:sRNA from 1 species